rnacentral:rRNA from 1 species
UACGUAGGGCGCAAGCGUUGUCCGGAAUUAUUGGGCGUAAAGAGCCCGUAGGCGGCUUGUCACGUCGAUUGUGAAAGCCCGAGGCUUAACCUCGGGUCUGCAGUCGAUACGGGCUAGCUAGAGUCCGGAAGAGGAGAGUGGAAUUCCUGGUGUAGCGGUGAAAUGCGCAGAUAUCAGGAAGAACACCCGUGGCGAAGGCGGCUCUCUGGGACGGUACUGACGCUGAGACGCGAAAGCGUGGGGAGCGAACAGG